GAAGGAAGAGAAAGAAGAGAGUGAUGAUGAUAUGGGGUUCUCGCUCUUUGACUAGGUACCUGAUAAGUUUGUGGCAGUUUGACUUGUGGUCUAUUUUGGUGGUCCGGAUUUAUCCGGAUCUUGGUGGAUUUUCAGAUUCUUGCUUGGUUUUGUUUGUGAACUUCAGUUCUCUUUAGACUUCUAAACCUCUUAUAAUUUCAGUCUGUUGAGCUUAAUCUUAUUUCUUAAUUUUUGGUGUAAUGGUACUAUUUUCCAAUUGUAGAUCGG
rnacentral:misc_RNA from 1 species